rnacentral:siRNA from 1 species
UCGACCAAACUCGUCCUACCAC